rnacentral:lncRNA from 1 species
UUCUCACGUUGCUGAAUUCACAGUUUCUUUUCUUCCAGGAUGAGGGAAAGGAAUGCCGGUGUCUGUCACGGCUGUAGAAGUAGGACCACUCCUUCCUCAAUUGCCUGAUAAAACGACGAUGCCCAUGGUGUACGCACGGACUGCAAAAAUGUUUUGAAGUUGAAAGAGAGAUAAAGAACAAAUGGCGAUUAUUCAAAACAUGUAGUGUUAACUACGGGUAUUUUGAUUGGGUCGUAAGCGAAGAAUCAAGCGGUGAAUGUAGCACGACUAAUGAAGCAGUGAAUCCCAAAGCCAUCGAGGAAGCCGAAGAUUUGUCGACCAUGUUCGACAGUCUAGCUAGAAUAGUUGAAAAAAAAGAUAUUGAAAUUUCAUUGAACAUGACAUUCCGUAAGGGAAAGGAAAGUGCCGAGGUGAAUGGAAAAUGGAAGGGCCACGCCCCGUAGGUAAUGGGCAAUAUUGAUUUUGAGAGGGCUUAGAUUGAGUAUAUUCUAUUGCUUAGGUUUGGUGGUGGUAAAUGGUGGCUGUGUUCAGUUUGUGAACUAAGAUGGUGGUUUUGGAGAACUUGUCUGGAUAAUGGCGGUGUGUUUUGGAAUUGGUAACCCUGUUUUGGAAUGCAAGUGGUGGUGUUAUAGUUGUGAACUAAUUUUCUAUUUGUUCACUGCUUGGGUUAAACUUACAAGGGAACUAAUUUUGUAGUUGUGCUAUAAUCUUGGUUUUUAAUUUUUAAACCUAUGUUUACAUAAUAAGUUGAUGUGUUAACAAUUGAAUUGUAAUAGGUUUUUUGUAUUACAUUGCCCGAAUUCCCCGAAACUGAAAAGGGAUGUUUAGGAUUCAAUUUGUAGAAGGAUUGCUCAUUUGAUGGUGCUCAUUAGUCGUGC